rnacentral:rRNA from 1 species
CCUACGGGUGGCAGCAGUGGGGAAUAUUGGACAAUGGGCGAAAGCCUGAUCCAGCAAUGCCGCGUGAGUGAUGAAGGCCUUAGGGUUGUAAAGCUCUUUUACCCGGGAUGAUAAUGACAGUACCGGGAGAAUAAGCUCCGGCUAACUCCGUGCCAGCAGCCGCGGUAAUACGGAGGGAGCUAGCGUUGUUCGGAAUUACUGGGCGUAAAGCGCGCGUAGGCGGUUACUCAAGUCAGAGGUGAAAGCCCGGGGCUCAACCCCGGAACUGCCUUUGAAACUAGGUGACUAGAAUCUUGGAGAGGUCAGUGGAAUUCCGAGUGUAGAGGUGAAAUUCGUAGAUAUUCGGAAGAACACCAGUGGCGAAGGCGACUGACUGGACAAGUAUUGACGCUGAGGUGCGAAAGCGUGGGGAGCAAACAGGAUUAGAUACCCCUGUAGUC